GUCCGUAUGGUCUAGCGGUAUGACGUUCGCCUCACACAUCCACAACGUGGUCGCGACAGGUCCCAGGUUCGAUCUUGUUCCUGGCGUGGACA